rnacentral:rRNA from 1 species
UACGUAGGUGGCAAGCGUUAUCCGGAUUUACUGGGUGUAAAGGGCGUGUAGGCGGGGACGCAAGUCAGAUGUGAAAACCACGGGCUCAACCUGUGGCCUGCAUUUGAAACUGUGUUUCUUGAGUACUGGAGAGGCAGACGGAAUUCCUAGUGUAGCGGUGAAAUGCGUAGAUAUUAGGAGGAACACCAGUGGCGAAGGCGGUCUGCUGGACAGCAACUGACGCUGAGGUGCGAAAGCGUGGGGAGCAAACAGG